UCGCAUAAUCCAAGCAAGCUUUGACUUUAUUUCUAAAGAGGUGAAGUUUAAAAUGCCUUAGUAAAUCACUUUGUACCGGAAUCGCAAGCGACUAACACCGUGUUCGGCUCGAGUGAAAAUCUUUUCUGUGUUUUGUUCCAAAUUCUUGUUAGAAUGCCCGCAAAGAAGGACUCGACCAAGGGCUCAAAAAAGGGAGCGGCGGCUCCUGCUGGGGCGAAACCGACCGCCGAUCCUGUGACAUCUGGAUCGACUGCCACCGUGGAACCAGCCGCCAAGGAGGCCAAAGGUGCCAAAAAGGGCAAAGGCAAGAAGAAGUAACAUUUCCAUCUGGAUUUCUAGGAACUGGCGUUAAUGGCAUAAGAAGAAAUUAAAUUCCAGCAAAGAAAAUAAUGAUAAAAUAAAUCGCUUCUAAGCAAGG